GUGAGAGCAAAUCAAUAAAUUGGGUCACAAAUCUUCAUAUUCAAGCAUAGGUAGGCCGUAUUUUGCUGUAGAUGUAUGGAAAUUAGUUUUUGAAAGUUUCUUGAUAGGUUAUCAAGUAAUUUGUGGGUCAAUCCACAAUGUAUAGGUGCAGAUUCAGGUGAAAACACCUCUUGAACAUCUUCUAGAUCCUUUUGACUCUUUGGCAGUCCUUGAACAUCCUUCAUCGCUUCUUUUAAUGGUCUCAUGACAUUUAGUUGAGGAAAUAAAAAGAUGUGGAUUGGAGCUGAAAAUGAUUGAAAGGAAGCAAAGAAGAGUGCAGCUGAAGACAUGGACUACAUCAACCUCAGUUACCGCGACCAUGGUCCUCAAUCCGUGGUCGUGGUCAGUCAAGACGAUUAGUACAACAUGGUCGCAACACACAACCAGACUCCCAUGGACGUGGUCGUGGACAGACAUGCACAAUCUCGAUCAUACGGGUAUAUGCCCAUAGGCAGAUCUGUAAAAGUACUUAGACGAAUCCCAUAGCAUAUAUAAACAAAAACUCUUUCUUCAUUGGGUAUUUCAUACCUCAUAAGAUAUAUUUGAAUUCUAGACUUGAAACCCUAAUUGGGAAAACGUGUAAAUAACUUUGGAAGCUAAAUAUCUUAGGAUUUUUGUGAAGAAUGAAUGCUUUGAAUAAUACUUAUGAUAUAUUUAUCUUUACUUUCUUCA